rnacentral:rRNA from 1 species
CCAGACUCCUACGGGAGGCAGCAGUGGGGAAUAUUGGGCAAUGGGCGCAAGCCUGACCCAGCAACGCCGCGUGAAGGAAGAAGGCCCUCGGGUUGUAAACUUCUUUUAUCAGGGACGAAACAAAUGACGGUACCUGAUGAAUAAGCCACGGCUAACUACGUGCCAGCAGCCGCGGUAAUACGUAGGGGGCAAGCGUUAUCCGGAUUUACUGGGUGUAAAGGGAGCGUAGACGGCAGAUCAAGUCUGGAGUGAAAUCCCGGGGCUCAACCCCGGAGCUGCUCUGGAAACUGAGAAGCUAGAGUACUGGAGAGGCAGGCGGAAUUCCUAGUGUAGCGGUGAAAUGCGUAGAUAUUAGGAGGAACACCAGUGGCGAAGGCGGCCUGCUGGACAGCGACUGACGUUGAGGCUCGAAAGCGUGGGGAGCAAACAGGAUUAGAUACCCUUGUAUU